AGUAAAUUGGUUAAGUUAGAAAGGGCGCACGGUGGAUGCCUUGGCACUAGGAGCCGAAGAAGGACGGGACUAACACCGAUAUGCUUUGGGGAGCUGUACGUAAGCGUUGAUCCAGAGAUUUCCGAAUGGGGGAACCCACUAUCUUUAGUCGGAUAGUAUCCUUACGUGAAUAUAUAGCGUAAGGAAGGCAGACCCAGGGAACUGAAACAUCUAAGUACCUGGAGGAAGAGAAAGAAAAAUCGAUUUCCUG
rnacentral:rRNA from 1 species